ACUUCUCAGGAGAGAAAAGAUGCAAUAUCCCAGCACUCGUUCCUGAGAGAGUUCCAAAUUUGUCCUAUACUCAUGAGAUUCCUCCAGAAUCUCACUGAGGAGCAGCUCAGGGAAUUGACUACAGAGGUGUCCGAACCGGAGUUGACAGAGAUGUUUAGGUCCAUGUGUGUUGAUGUGGUGAAGUUGACCACAGACUACAUUGUGCAAAAACAGUCAUCCCCUACCUCUGACACCUUCGACCCCAAUUCACCAAGGCCAUAGGAUGGUCAACUCUCCCAUGCUCCAACUGUUUCCUCCCUUCCAACCCUUAUCCUCUAAUAUAUUCAUUUCUAUCCCUUCUUUUCCCAUUAUUCCAAUUGGCCAUACUUCAGAUUUGUUGUGUUGAUUUAUUCUGUACACACGACAUCUGCCUGUCUUGGGAGAGGGAUCCCUCCUCUGUUCCCUGAGUCACUUCACACUGGAAGAAGUUAAGCUACAGCAUAACCUCUCUAGAGAGAAAUGUAGUUUGGCAAACUAAAGCUACUUUACGGGCGGCAUGGUGGCGCAGUGAUUAGCACUGUGGCCUCACAGCAAGGAGGUUCCAGGUUCAAGCUCUGGCCAACCUGGUGCCUUUCUGUGCGGAGUUUACAUGUUCUCCCCAUGUUUGCGUGGGUUUUCACCGGGUGCUCCGGCUUUCCCCCCACAGUCAAAAGACAUGUACUUUAGGUUGAUUGGUGACUCUAAAUUGCCCAUUUUGUCGUUUGCCUCUAAGUGUCAGCCCUGUGAUAGACUGGCAACCUGCCCAGGGUGUACCCCGCCUCUUGCCCAGUGUCAGCUGGCAUUGGCUCCAGCCUACAUCCACAACCCUCUUCAGGAUAAGCCAUAUGGAUAAAUUAAUUGACUCUCUUAAUAAAAGUGAUUACAAUUGGGCAUACAGCAUCUAUCUCUGUGUGGAUCCUUAAAUAUUAAUAGUAGUCCUAUUCUUUAGGACACUUACAUGAUAAGAAAAAGUCAAUCCAAGUCAAUUUUGUAUGUUUCUGAGAAACCAGAGUAACAGUUAGUGUACUUUAGAGGCUGCAGUGUUCAUUACAUCUUGGCUCUGAUUUUUGUAGAUUUGUUGAUCAGUUCUAUUGUGAAACUGUAAUAAAAUGAUAAUAAAACUGUAGUAGCACAUAUUUCUGAGGGACUGUAACCCAGAGAGCUGCUGCAGACAAAAUAACUCACACAUACAUAUAUGUAUACAGUAGGCAUCAACAAUUUGCUGCUUGCUACUUGACAAUGUUGAGUCACACAGCACCACCUACUGGAUUGUGCCUGUAGUGGUGUUGUCAACCAGGAGCAUCAACAAUCAUUUAAGAAAUAUUUUAACAUUUUAAUGGAUGUGAAACAUGAUUGUGCAGGUUUGAUGUAACAGAAUAUACAAAGCUAAAAAGGAUUAAUUAAAUGAAAAUUUAAUUAUCUCUCAGAGGAAAUCAGGUAAUGUAACAAAAAGCAAAAUAUGAAUCAAAAACCCUUUUCUGCAGGAGACAGAUGAUGCAAAGAUUAGAUGUCAUUAAAGCUUCAACAAUUUCAUGGGACUAAUUUUUCUUCUGAUCCUUUGAGCAUAUAGACUACACACCACGGGAAAUGGAAUAAAACUUUUUUAAAAGUAAAAAAAAAACAAGUGUUCACCAGCACCAGGUGGUGAACAGGCAGCAGAUAUGCUUCUGGCUAAAGAUUCUGCUUAGAAGAAUGGAGAAGAUUCCAGCAAAAGUGAGAAUGUCUUGAUCUCUGAGCCAGGAUCAUUCUCCAGAUACUCCAACUGGUCAGAGGAUACCAGGAGGUCAGCUUCACCUGCUGUGUCUUCAUGCACCAGCACCUUGGAGGAAAACACCAGCGUGACUGAGUCCAGUGAUUCUGAGACACCAGUCAAGAAGCCAUUCCACAAGAGAUUGAAGAAUGCUUGGUAGAAACUCUCUAUUGGAAAGAAAAGUAAAAAGUCCUGUCUGUUCUAGAGAGUACCUCGACUGCGAAAAUGAGGCGGCAGCAGAUAUGCCUCUGGAUGAAGCACCUUCCCAGGAUAAAAGAAUAUGCAGCAAUCCUUCCUGAGAGAUUUCCAAAUGUGUCCCAUAGUCAAGAGAUUCUUCCAGAGUCUCACUGAAGAGCAGUUCAGGGAAUUGAGUAAAGGGUUUUACAAUCAAGAGCUGAAUGUGCUUAGGUGCAUAUGUGUGGAUGUAGUGAAGCUGACCACAGACUACAUCACAAAAACACAUCAGUCAUCCACCUCUGACAUCUUCAACCAGCCUAGACCCAUAUGAUGAAAGCACCACUGGAGGCGACAUCCCUGUGAGGACAUCACCCCAGUUCACCGGGGCCAUAGGAUGGUCAACUCUCCUCAAGAAGAAAGAGGGAAAAAGAAUGCAGAAGCCACGGUGGGAACACCUGUCGAGUCCCUAUGGAUCAAGGUUGUGAUUUCAACUACCUCUCUCUCUCUCUCCCAUCUGCCCCUCUCCCAUGUCUCCACUGUUUCCUUCUCUCCCCCCUUUUCUUUAUCAGAGGCCAUUUGUCCAUUAUAGACCAGGUACUGCCAGCCCUCAGUAUAAAUUGCAAGCCAAUAAAUUCUUUCACCAUAAAGUUUGUCUACAGAUGUAGAAACAGGCAGUUAAUGUGGUGUGUGUACCUAGGCCUAACUUUCUGUCUGUUCGUGCCAACAUGGGCUCUGGCAAUGUGUCCUCUCUGGCUCUUGGUUGCUGAGCAGCACCAGACAGACGUGUCAGUCUCAACUGAUUUGUUCCAGUUAAUAAUGCUGUCUAAGCAUAAAACCUUUCUUGUGACAGUUUCUUCAUUCUCUAGGGCUUUACAUCUGUCAGUAGGUAUCAGUGUAGUUUAUUUUGGUUUCUCAAAUCACAUUACACAUAUAGAUCCAUCAAAUGCAUAUAGGCUGUGUAUAUAGUACUUUAUUUUUAUUCCUAAUGAAUGUUCUUUUUUUAACUUCUGAUCUCAGCCUUACAGUUUAUUUGCCCACUGCUGCUUUACAUAAGGACAUGUAGAUGUGCACUGAGAGCUGCUGUACCAGAGUCAAAUUCCUCGUGUCCAACACACCUGGCCAGUAAAGCUGAUUCUGAUUAUACUGACAGUGAUGGGGUUAAUAUCUAAUGUUAUAAUGAGUUUAUUUGAAUAGUCAAUAGAAAAUGAAUAGAAAAUACUUCAAUCAUUGUUUAAUCCAAGUCACUUCAAGCUUUAAAAAAAAAACUUUUGAAAGUUCCAACCACUCAACUGUGAGAAUGUAUGAUUUUCUCAUUGAUUAUAUUUUUGACUAGUUGUUGAACAAAAGGUAUUUAAAGAAUUCUACUUGGUCUCUAUGAAAUUCUGUUAGACCAAAUGAUCAAUUAACAAUAAUUUGCCGAUCUCUGCAUUAAAUUACAUUGGCUGCUAUCAUCUCUAGCUGCAUGUUUUUAAAUU